rnacentral:lncRNA from 1 species
UUUAGGGGAGCAAAUGGGCAUGUGUCCCCCGUUGUCCAUCUCCGUCACCCAAAAACAUCCCCCAGAUUUCUCUCCCAAAUAUAUUUUUUUCUUUCCUUUUCUCUCGCCGUCUCCCAUCUUCCUCUCCUUCCCGUGAGCGUGCUACCCCAUCUCCCUCUCCUCCACCCCGUGCCCUCCUCCUCUCCGUGCUCCCGAUCUCCUUCUGCUCCGAAAAAGGCAGCCCCUCCGUCGCACCUCUGGUCCGCCGCCGCCAUCUCCACAUCUCCCCGCCGCCGCACCUCUGGUCCUUCGUCGGCCCGACACCCCACCUCGGGCUCGCGCCGCCGCUUCGCGAGGAGCUUCCUAGCCGUGCCACAUCCUCGCAACGCCGCUGCGCCUCGGGCCCGCACCUCCGCCGCCGCUCGGAUCCUCUAUGGAGGAGGUGGCAAGUGGGGCGCGGGGGGCGCUGUGGAGGAGGUGGUAGGUGGGGCGCAGGGGCCGCUGUGGAGGAGGUCGGGCGCGGCGGCGGUACGUUGUGGUGACCGAGACCCAUAGGGUCCGAAUCUCCGUGUAUUCUGUACUAGUCACUGGAUACACGAAGUUCCAAGAUAAAUAUCACAACUCACAUCUUGUACGUUUGCAACAAGUAGAAUCCAGAGUGUUAACUUAUUACAAGCGGAAGAUCCAAAUAGCAAAUAAAAUAGAGUCCACCGAUGCCACAGGCUUAUUUAUUGUGUGUAGACUCGCGACCAUGCGUGUGAUCCCUCGUUGAGCGUCAUUCUCUGCACAUGAUACGUGCAGGUCAGUACAUUGAAUGUACUUACGAGUUACACCUGUGAUGUUAUGAGAAAUGCAAAUAUAUGCUUAAGGGUAGUUCCUAGUUAGGCUUUUAUGGUUCCUUUAGCAAAUACAUCAUGUUUGUAUUUUUGAAUUACUCAUAAUACAUUUCGAAAACUCUACCUCUACAAUUUUCUAAAAUAUAGUUUUGGAAAUGUAAGUAUGGUCACCUGUGGAUACUGCUCCAUUGACCUAGCUAUGCACUUUGGGUCAUGCCGCUAACACUCACAUAGAAUCCCUUUCUUCCCGUGACCCAUUCUGUGGAUGCGGCUCCAUUAGGUCAAAACAGUUUUUUUUGGGGUUUUUGAAAACAAAACUAAAAGAUCUCUUAUCCAGACUUAGUAGCUCAAAAUUCACCCGUAACCAGAGGCAUGGCUAAUCGAUUAGGUUGACACUCUCGAGAGGUUUGUACACUUUCCCCACUUGACACAAUCAGUCCAAGGUGUUGCCUGACGACAAGC